CACCAAUUUCUUGCCUUGAACAACUGACAGCGUAAGCAGCCUAUGCCUGUGUACAGCUGAGACGAUACGUUAAUCUCUGUGGGCGGGACUAUGACAUUGUUGUGGACCAGCAUCCGCCAAUUUGUUGACCAGUCGAGCGGUGUUACUGUGCCAGCUGCAGGUCACACAGUCGAAACUCCACGGGCUCACGAUGGAGUUAAAGGUGCCCGAGGUGCAGUCCUGUUGCUGGUGCGUCUCGCUUAGGACGGGGGCCAAGAUCUUUGGAUUUCUCUCUUUGGUAGGCGGAUUGUUACUGUCUGUG